ACUAUUUUGACAGAUAAAUGUGAUAAAUUUAGAAUUUAUUUAUAUAUUAUUAUUUAAUAUAAAUAGUA
rnacentral:tRNA from 1 species